CCUUCGAUAGCUCAGUUGGUAGAGCGGUGGACUGUAGUUGGAAGAAACGGGCAAGAGGGGAGGUGUCGGAGGUGGACCACCUGUACGUUUCAAUCGAUAGUUAUCCAUAGGUCACUGGUUCAAAUCCGGUUCGAAGGA
rnacentral:tRNA from 1 species